rnacentral:rRNA from 1 species
AGGACGAACGCUGGCGGCGUGCUUAACACAUGCAAGUCGAGCGGUAAGGCCUUUCGGGGUACACGAGCGGCGAACGGGUGAGUAACACGUGGGUGAUCUGCCCUGCACUCUGGGAUAAGCCUGGGAAACUGGGUCUAAUACCGGAUAUGACCUGCUCUCGCAUGGGGGGUGGGUGGAAAGAUUUAUCGGUGCAGGGAUGGGCCCGCGGCCUAUCAGCUUGUUGGUGGGUAAUGGCCUACCAAGGCGACGACGGGUAGCCGACCUGAGAGGGUGACCGGCCACACUGGGACUGAGACACGGCCCAGACUCCUACGGGAGCAGCAGGUGGGAAUAUGCACAAGUGGGACGAAAGCCUGAUGCAGCGACGCCGCGUGAGGAUGAAGGCCUUCGGGUU